UCUCCGUAGGUGAACCUGCGGAGGGAUCAUUACAGAGUUCUCGCCCUCGCGGGUAGAUCUCCCACCCACUGUUAUCGUUACUGUGUUGCUUUGGCGGGCCGCCGGGCCCCGCUCGGCCGCCGGCUCCGGCUGGCGCGCGCCUGCCAGAGGCCCAGCAAACUCUGAAUGUUAGUGUCGUCUGAGUACUAUAUAAUAGUUAAAACUUUCAACAACGGAUCUCUUGGUUCUG
rnacentral:misc_RNA from 1 species